UACGAAGGGUGCAAGCGUUAAUCGGAAUUACUGGGCGUAAAGGGUGCGUAGGCGGUUGUUUAAGUCUGUUGUGAAAUCCCCGGGCUCAACCUGGGAAUGGCAAUGGAUACUGGACAGCUAGAGUGUGUCAGAGGAUGGUGGAAUUUCCGGUGUAGCGGUGAAAUGCGUAGAUAUCGGAAGGAACACCAGUGGCGAAAGCGGCUUCCUGGUCCAGCACCGACGUUCAGGCACGAAAGCGUGGGGAGCAAACAGG
rnacentral:rRNA from 1 species